GGUAUAAGAUGGGCAUGCGUCUGAUUAGGUAGUUGGUGAGGUAACGGCUCACCAAGCCGACGAUCAGUAGGGGUUCUGAGAGGAUUACCCCCCACACUGGUACUGAGACACGGACCAGACUCCUACGGGAGGCAGCAGUAAGGAAUAUUGGGCAAUGGAGGCAACUCUGACCCAGCCAUGCCGCGUGAAGGAUUGACGGCCCUCUGGGUUGUAAACUUCUUUGGGAAGGAAUAACCCUCCGAACGUGUUCGGAGCUGAAGGUACCGUAAGAAUAAGGAUCGGCUAACUCCGUGCCAGCAGCCGCGGUAAUACGGAGGAUCCAAGCGUUAUCCGGAUUUACUGGGUUUAAAGGGUGCGUAGGCGGAUUGAUAAGUCAGUGGUGAAAGCCUGCAGCUUAACUGCAGAACUGCCAUUGAUACUGCCAGUCUGGAGUAUGGUUGAGGUAGCUGGAAUGUGUCAUGUAGCGGUGAAAUGCUUAGAGAUGACACAGAACACCGACGGCGAAGGCAGGUUACCAACCCAUUACUGACGCUGAGGCACGAAAGCGUGGGGAUCAAACAGGAUUAGAUACCCUGGUAGUCCACGCCGUAAACUAUGAUUACUAACUGUUUGCGAUAUACAGUAAGCGGUACAGCGAAAGCGUUAAGUAUUCCACCUGGGGAGUACGUUCGCAAGAAUGAAACUCAAAGGAAUUGACGGGGGCCCGCACAAGCGGAGGAGCAUGUGGUUUAAUUCGAUGAUACGCGAGGAACCUUACCUGGGCUCAAACGUAUAGGGAAUUAUGCCGAAAGGUAUAAGCCAGCAAUGGCCGUAUACGAGGUGCUGCAUGGUUGUCGUCAGCUCGUGCCGUGAGGUGUCGGCUUAAGUGCCAUAACGAGCGCAACCCUUGUCGUUAGUUACCAUCAAGUAAUGUUGGGGACUCUAGCGAGACUGCCACCGUAAGGUGUGAGGAAGGGGGGGAUGACGUCAAAUCAGCACGGCCCUUAUGUCCAGGGCGACACACGUGCUACAAUGGCCGAUACAAAGGGCAGCUACCAGGUGACUGGAUGCGAAUCUUUAAAAUCGGUCUCAGUUCGGAUCGGAGUCUGCAACUCGACUCCGUGAAGUCGGAUUCGCUAGUAAUCGCGCAUCAGCCAUGGCGCGGUGAAUACGUUCCCGGGCCU
rnacentral:rRNA from 1 species